CGCGCAGGCGGCGUCGUAAGUCGGUCUUAAAAGUGCGGGGCUUAACCCCGUGAGGGGACCGAAACUGCGAUGCUAGAGUAUCGGAGAGGAAAGCGGAAUUCCUAGUGUAGCGGUGAAAUGCGUAGAUAUUAGGAGGAACACCAGUGGCGAAAGCGGCUUUCUGGUCCGUAACUGACGCUGAAGCGCGAAAGUGUGGGGAGGCAAAACA
rnacentral:rRNA from 1 species